rnacentral:misc_RNA from 1 species
UUACAAGAAACUGUACUUGGAGUUUCAGCAUUUCAGGUUUCUGGACACAAGAACGCCUACUUCUAAGUUAGAUUUCCAGUGUACCCUUCCCCACUUUGAUUCUCUCUAGAUUAACAUAAGGCUUCAAGGAAAGGGAUAGAGAGAUCGAAGACGAUCAUGGAAGAAAAGAAUGAUGUUGGUAAGAUUGAUGAAGUGAUGUUGCCUGGAUUUCGUUUUCAUCCAACCGAUGAGGAACUUGUUGGUUUUUAUCUCAAGAGAAAGAUACAACAGCGACCUCUGCCUAUUGAGUUGAUUAAGCAAGUGGAUAUCUACAAAUAUGAUCCCUGGGAUCUUCCAAGGCUAGCGACUUCAGGGGAAAAAG